GCCCUUGUAGCUCAGUUGGUAGAGCAGCGGUUUUGUAAACCGAAGGUCGCGGGUUCAAAUCCUGCCGGGGGCACCA
rnacentral:tRNA from 4 species